rfam:Drosophila simulans chromosome 3R, whole genome shotgun sequence.
UGGAGCAGAGGCUCUGGCAGCUUUUGCAGCGUUUAUAUAACAAGAAAUAUAUAUACGCAUUCCG